rnacentral:rRNA from 1 species
AGGAUGAACGCUGGCGGCGUGCUUAACACAUGCAAGUCAUGGGGGCCCAGCAAUGGGCAACCGGCGAACGGGUGCGUAACACGUGAGCAACCUACCCAGGUGUGGGGGAUAGCCGU